GGAAGAAACCCGUCACACGAGCCCGGACCAACAGGAAGCAGGCCGCUGUAGAUUCCCAUGAAUUUGAUAAAGAUGAAUUUGAUAAAGAUCCUGAAAUGGAGGCAGUGGAGCCAGCAAAGAAAAGAAAGAAACCCGUCACACGAGCCCGGACCAACAGGAAGCAGGCCGCUGCAGAUUCUGAUGAAGAUCCUGAAAUUGAGGCAGCAAAGCCACUUAAGAAGAGAAAGAAACUUCAGAGAAAGCAAUGGACCACUGAAGAGCAAGCCGCUGUUCACCGCCACCUGACAAAAUUCAUUGCCCUUCAGAGGGUCCCAGGGAAGAGGGAAUGUGAAAAAUGUAGAGAGGCAGAGCCUCACUUAAACCAACGCCAAUGGAAAGAUAUAAAAAACUAUGUGUACAACACCAUUUGUAGCCUUAAGAGAGCUGUGUAAGAACUCAUUGUUUAUGAGGGCAUGGAAACGAAAGGUAUACUGUUUUUAUUGGAGUGAGCAUUAUAUAGAACAACUUUCUUUUCUCUUUUUCCUCUUUUGGUUAACAUGGAAACGAAAAGUAUACCGUUUUGAUUGGAGUGAGCAUUAUAUAGUACAACUUUCUUUUCUCCUUUUCCUCUUUUGGUUAACAAUUGUGCUUCAGACGGUUGCAUAGGCUUCAUUGUUAGUUAGGUGCCUUAUUGCGUGCUGUGUACAGAUGUAUGCUGA
ensembl:lncRNA